rnacentral:piRNA from 1 species
UUUGGCUAAGAUCAAGUGUAGUA